UCUAUUUUUUCUAAAAAAAAAACUUUACACUAACUUAUUGCACCUUCGUUGUCUCCAGUUUCAAUGGAUAAGAGUUGGAAUUUAUGGGUUCAUUUUGUAGGUCAACAUGAACAUGGCUAAACAUUAUGCUGAAUUUAUUCACUGGAAUCAAGAUAUCAGAUGAUGCAAGAGAUUGCUGACCAGAGGUAACAAUAAUCAAUUAAGUUUCACCCCAGUCAUUUAUAUUGCAAUUCUGUUAAUUUAUGGAGCAAAUACAUAUUUAUGCUUUCAAAAUAAUGGAAUUUCAUAUUCAUUAUUUUAAAACUCGACGAGGCAUAUAUGACAUUGUGUUUAAGCUUUUUUGUCUCCUUAAGCAUGCUACAUUUUUUUUCAUUUUAUUUAUUUUUCACAUUUAAAUAUCCAAUUAUAUAUUUAUUAUUUCUUGUACCAUACAUAUAUUAUAUUAAUUAUAUGCUUAAAUUAAACAAUAGUUGAAAAAUCAUAAAUGAUUAAAUUGAAAGGCAUUUUAUGUAUAUUAUAUUAAAUCAACAGGGGAAUCCAAGGUGUAAUAAGUUGAUAUACAUAAUUAAGUGUCAGUUAGCAUAUGAUAUCUCCACAAGCCAUGUGAAGCGAUAAUGACAGGAUGGGCUCCUACAUUGCGGUCAAUCCCCACCAAGCAAUGGGCAACAUUUGGUGUCUUGGCAUACGCGUUCAAGACCAACAACACUCAGAGGCUUGGGUGUUCUCAAUCUGAAAGCUAACAACCUUGCAAUGCUGUGUGUUCUUGGUUGUGGAACCUAGUUAACUGAUGAUAUCGAUGAAGUGGAUCUCGAUUGGCCUGAAAUUGUAGAACAAACCAUCAAUCAAGAUGAACACAUAACCCCGGUUAAAUCAAACCACAAAUGGUCCUCCUUCGGAAAGAUAUGAUGAAGUCAUGAAGGUACUGAACUUCCUGAUAGGCCUAAAAAAUUGGACAUCAGAAAUGUCUGGAAAACAAACUUUUGGCUGGACAGGUGAUCAGGUGACACAAUCCUAAGUAACCACUUUCCCGAGCUUGCUAAGAUAAGCAGAAAUCUCAAAACUCUGUCAGAUAGUGGGGUAAUCCUCCAAUAGGGACUGAUGCAACUGAUAUAGUUUUGUGGAGGGUGUUCAUAAGUGAUUUACUAGCACAUUUGGUCCUCUGUUGAUCCAAAUAAGUUAAGAUUUUUCACUGGCUAGUUAAGACGAACAGAAUUAACACACAGCAGGCUGCAAAGAUUGGAAAUGGUUAUUCCAGACGGCAGAUGCUCUUUUUGUGGACGUGACGAGGAUAUUAAUAUGCCACUGGUUCACAAAAUAUGCUUUCACUAAAAUAGGUUGGUUUUUCCAUGCAGAUGCACUCACUUGCCAUCCAAUGGAGGAAACACUGAGUUUCUUUUUUGCAACUGCUGGGGAAAGGAUCUUCAGCAAGGGAGUAACCAGGCAUAGAUUUGCAUGGUAUGGAGGCAAUGUAAUUACAUUGAUUUUAGAGUGGAAAUCCCUCAAAGCCCAUCACUCUACCUACAACUUAUGGAGGAGAAGAGCAAAGGGAAGGAAAAGGAUCAAGGUGCGUGCUAUAUUUUCAGGAGCUUAAAGCAAAAAUUGACUUGAUUAAUAGAAUCAUUUCAAGCUGAAGAGGUAUUUGCUGCAGUAUCAACUGAAGGGAUGGAAGGUGUACAUGAGUAAUUUCUUUUUUCUGCUUUUGUUGCAACUACUGAUAAUACCCAUCUUGGUCCUUUUGCUCUAAUUCUUAACUUUUCUUAUGCUUAUUAAUAUUAGCUGUUGGUAGGUAAAGGAAUACUUAAGUCAACUUCUUCUGGCGAUGUUAGACUCAAAAGCACAUGGAUGACUUUGAGAUAAGCAAGAACAAUGCUUCAUUGUCAGAGUCAUGGAAUCAUUUCUGUAUAUGAGCUGUGCAAUAUUUUCGAUUUGUCAAACUUUGAUACUCCAAAGCAACUGUGAGUUAAUGAGUUGUUUGAUUUUGUUAUUGGUGCUUAGACUAUGAGGUAUAUAGAAUGCAUAUCAUCUAUUUUUUAAACAAGCAUAUUUGGUUAGUAAAAACAGCGAAAAUAUUAUGAUUUAA